rnacentral:lncRNA from 1 species
AUUGUAAUAUAAAAAUCUUUUAAUAAUUAAUAUUAUUUUCAAAUUAUGAAAUAAUUUUCAGCUCAACUCCAAUUGAUCCAGGAUCUAUUUGGUGGCCGCCAAACCGUUUUAUUGUUUACUUCAAUAAGAUUCUGACAGGCAUGAGACCAGCAUGGCCUUCACAAAGUCGUGAUAAAUCCAAAAACCAAGACUUAGAUCGCUUCCUCUGGUAGCGACACUCUGCAUGCAUGAAGCAACACAACCACAAAUUGGCUCCGCAAGUUGCUUGACUAUCUCACUCCGCUAUCCAUCAUCGUCUUCAUGACCUAUGCUUCUUUC